rnacentral:rRNA from 1 species
CCAGCUCCAAUAGCGUAUAUUAAAGUUGUUGCAGUUAAAAAGCUCGUAGUUGAAUUUCUGACUAUUUAUAUACUGGCUUACGUCAGUAUAUAGGUAGUCAUCCGUCUUCUAAACCAUUCCGGCCUUCACUGGUCGAUUGGCGGAGAAGGCACUUUACCUUGAAAAAAUUAGAGUGUUUCAGGCAGGUUUUCGCCCGAAUACAUUAGCAUGGAAUAAUGGAAUAGGAAUGUGUCCAUUUCGUUGGCUAUUGGACAUAUUAAUGAUUAAUAGGGACAGUUGGGGGCAUUAGUAUUUAAUUGUCAGAGGUGAAAUUCUUGGAUUUAUUAAAGACUAACUUAUGCGAAAGCAUUUGCCAAGGAUGUUUUCA